rnacentral:lncRNA from 1 species
UCCCUCUUGUCGAUGACCUGAGAUCCAAUCAUCACGUCCCUGCCUACUUCGCUCGGCUCGACGCUAAGCUUGCACUCCAGGUAUUCUGUCUUAGAUAUGCUUAUUUUGAAACCCUUAGACUCGAGAGUCUGUCUCCAUACCUCUAACCUCUCAAUAACGCCGACCCUCAUCUCGUCUAUUAAGACUAUGUCAUCAGCAAAUAGCAUACACCAAGG